AUGGAAGGGGUGAUCGCGACAGUGUCAACGAUGAUGCGGACACGGUUGGUCCUGAAGUCGAGGGUCAUCGCCGAGCCAGCAGGAAGGACAUCGAUGUCGGCGUUAGGCAUGUCCUUAAGGAUGAUCUCCUUGGCCUCCUCGAUGGACUUUCCCACUACCUCCGGCCAUGACGUCUUCUUCUCCUCUCCGGCGGGGGCUUUUGGGGCGGCGCAGCUCAUCCUUGAUUCGGUGAGCUGCAAACAAUUGAUCAAAAUAGUUCAGUUCAGACUACAAAUCACAAUAACAGUUGGCCCAAAUAGUUCAUCAAAUCGUCUUUCCUUUUUGGUUCAGACUACAGAUCAAAACAAUGCUAAUGUUAGUCAUAUAUCUUUUUUCGAAAAGAAGGAUAACCCCGGCCUCUGUAUGAGGAUGAUGCAUACAGAGAAACUUAUUGGCAGAAAGCAUAUGGAAAUGAAAAUAUGGAAUAUAUACCCAACAGUACUAACCAGCUAA
rnacentral:rRNA from 1 species